GACGAACGCUGGCGGCGUGCUUAACACAUGCAAGUCGAGCGGUAAGGCCCGUUUCGGGGGUACACGAGCGGCGAACGGGUGAGUAACACGUGGGUGACCUGCCCUCAGCUCUGGGAUAAGCCUGGGAAACCGGGUCUAAUACCGGAUAUGACUCCAUGACGCAUGUUGUGGGGUGGAAAGCCUUGUGCGGCUGAGGAUGGGCCCGCGGCCUAUCAGCUUGUUGGUGGGGUGAUGGCCUACCAAGGCGACGACGGGUAGCCGGCCUGAGAGGGCGACCGGCCACACUGGGACUGAGACACGGCCCAGACUCCUACGGGAGGCAGCAGUGGGGAAUCUUGCGCAAUGGGCGAAAGCCUGACGCAGCGACGCCGCGUGAGGGAUGACGGCC
rnacentral:rRNA from 1 species